CUCGCUGCUGCGGCCGCGUUUACGAAAGAAGCACGCUGCUCGCACAUGAAAAACAUGCAGGUGACCAUGUGCUUGUGCCGUGUGCUCGAUGGCUCCCACAGCGUGAUCCACUGCGGCACAGUCGAAUUAGGACAACGCAAGCUAUUAAAUAACUGAGGAAUAAAUAAAAGAGAAAAUAGAAUUAAAGGAUGCAUAUCGAAGAACAAAA